UUGUCCUGUGACUGCGUACCUUUUGUAUAAUGGGUCAGCGACUUAUAUUCAGUGGCAAGGUUAACCAUCUAGGGGAGCCGUAGGGAAACCGAGUCUUAACUGGGCGUUCAGUCUCUGGAUAUAGACCCGAAACCAGGUGAUCUAGCCAUGGGCAGGUUGAAGGUUGAGUAACAUCAACUGGAGGACCGAACCGACUAAUGUUGAAAAAUUAGCGGAUGACUUGUGGCUAGGGGUGAAAGGCCAAUCAAACCUGGAGAUAGCUGGUUCUCCCCGAAAGCUAUUUAGGUAGCGCCUCGGACGAAUACUACUGGGGGUAGAGCACUGUUAAGGCUAGGGGGUCAUCCCGACUUACCAACCCUUUGCAAACUCCGAAUACCAGUAAGUACUAUCCGGGAGACACACGGCGGGUGCUAACGUCCGUCGUGGAGAGGGAAACAACCCAGACCGCCAGCUAAGGUCCCAAAUUACUACUAAGUGGGAAACGAUGUGGGAAGGCUCAGACAGCCAGGAUGUUGGCUUAGAAGCAGCCAUCAUUUAAAGAAAGCGUAAUAGCUCACUGGUCGAGUCGGCCUGCGCGGAAGAUGUAACGGGGCUAAGUAGUAAACCGAAGCUGCGGCAAUGUGCUUUUGCACAUUGGGUAGGGGAGCGUUCUGUAAGCGGUUGAAGGUGUGUGGUAACGCAUGCUGGACGUAUCAGAAGUGCGAAUGCUGACAUGAGUAACGAUAAAGGGGGUGAAAAACCUCCUCGCCGGAAGACCAAGGGUUCCUGUCCAACGUUAAUCGGGGCAGGGUAAGUCGACCCCUAAGGCGAGGCCGAAAGGCGUAGUCGAUGGGAAACGGGUUAAUAUUCCCGUACUUCUUACAAUUGCGAUGGGGGGACGGAGAAGGCUAGGUGGGCCUGGCGACGGUUGUCCAGGUUCAAGUGCGUAGGCUUAAGAGUUAGGUAAAUCCGGCUCUUUUUAAGGCUGAGACACGACGUCGAGCACCUACGGGUGUGAAGUCAUUGAUGCCAUGCUUCCAGGAAAAGCCUCUAAGCUUCAGAUUGUAAGGAAUCGUACCCCAAACCGACACAGGUGGUCGGGUAGAGAAUACCAAGGCGCUUGAGAGAACUCGGGUGAAGGAACUAGGCAAAAUGGUACCGUAACUUCGGGAGAAGGUACGCUCUCGACGGUGAAGUCCCUCGCGGAUGGAGCUAUUGAGAGUCGCAGAUACCAGGUGGCUGCAACUGUUUAUUAAAAACACAGCACUGUGCAAAAUCGUAAGAUGACGUAUACGGUGUGACGCCUGCCCGGUGCCGGAAGGUUAAUUGAUGGGGUUAGACUUCGGUCGAAGCUCUUGAUCGAAGCCCCGGUAAACGGCGGCCGUAACUAUAACGGUCCUAAGGUAGCGAAAUUCCUUGUCGGGUAAGUUCCGACCUGCACGAAUGGCGUAAUGAUGGCCACGCUGUCUCCACCCGAGACUCAGUGAAAUUGAAAUCGCUGUGAAGAUGCAGUGUACCCGCGGCUAGACGGAAAGACCCCGUGAACCUUUACUACAGCUUGGCACUGAACAUUGACCCUACAUGUGUAGGAUAGGUGGGAGGCUUUGAAGCACGUACGCCAGUAUGUGUGGAGCCGUCCUUGAAAUACCACCCUUGUAGUGUUGAUGUUCUAACGUCGACCCCUUAUCGGGGUUGCGGACAGUGCCUGGUGGGUAGUUUGACUGGGGCGGUCUCCUCCCAAAGAGUAACGGAGGAGCACGAAGGUGGGCUAAUCACGGUUGGACAUCGUGAGGUUAGUGCAAUGGCAUAAGCCCGCUUGACUGCGAGAAUGACAAUUCGAGCAGGUGCGAAAGCAGGUCAUAGUGAUCCGGUGGUUCUGAAUGGAAGGGCCAUCGCUCAACGGAUAAAAGGUACUCCGGGGAUAACAGGCUGAUACCGCCCAAGAGUUCAUAUCGACGGCGGUGUUUGGCACCUCGAUGUCGGCUCAUCACAUCCUGGGGCUGAAGUCGGUCCCAAGGGUAUGGCUGUUCGCCAUUUAAAGUGGUACGCGAGCUGGGUUUAGAACGUCGUGAGACAGUUCGGUCCCUAUCUGCCGUGGGCGUUGGAAGAUUGAAGGGGGCUGCUCCUAGUACGAGAGGACCGGAG
rnacentral:rRNA from 1 species